CCUACGGGUGGCUGCAGUCGAGAAUCAUUCACAAUGGGGGAAACCCUGAUGGUGCGACGCCGCGUGGGGGAAUGAAGGUCUUCGGAUUGUAAACCCCUGUCAUGUGGGAGCAAAUUAAAACGAUCGUACCACAAGAGGCAGAGACGGCUAACUCUGUGCCAGCAGCCGCGGUAAUACAGAGGUCUCAAGCGUUGUUCGGAAUCACUGGGCGUAAAGCGUGCGUAGGCUGUUUCGUAAGUCGUGUGUGAAAGGCGCGGGCUCAACCCGCGGACGGCACAUGAUACUGCGAGACUAGAGUAAGGGAGGGGGAACCGGAAUUCUCGGUGUAGCAGUGAAAUGCGUAGAUAUCGAGAGGAACACUCGUGGCGAAGGCGGCCUACUGGGCUUUAACUGACGCUGAGGCACGAAAGCGUGGGUAGCAAACAGGAUUAGAUACCCUUGUAGUC
rnacentral:rRNA from 1 species